CUCUCCUAAGUUUUUGACAUGGCACUCUCCUAAGCAAUGCCACAAGAUAGAAGCUCGACAACAUCAUCUCAGUAUCAAGGAAUCAUCAUCCAUUAAGAUGAUCUCUUGUGUAUGGUGAACCAAGAACAGAUUGUAGGGCUGCCUUUUGGAGAGAUCUUGUACAACUAGGUCGGACGGUCACUGAACCCUGGCUUUGCAUGGGAGAUUUUAAUGAGAUUUUGGAUCAAGAGGAAAAAUCAGGCGAUCAAGUAAAACCCAUUUCACAAAUCUUAAAUUUUAGUACUGCUAUUGAUGACUGUGGUCUUGUUGAAUUAAAGUUUAGCAGCCCCCCUUUUCUUGAUCUAAUAAAAGGAAAGGCAAAGAUGUAAUCAUGGCUAUCAUAGACAAGGCUUUUCCCAA